rnacentral:rRNA from 1 species
AUAGCGUAUAUUAAAGUUGUUGCAGUUAAAAAGCUCGUAGUUGAAUUUUAGGCCUGGUUGGCCGGUCUGCUCUAGGGUUUGUACUGUCCUGACCGGGUCUUACCUUCUGGUGAGCUGUCGUAUUGUUUACUCAGUGCGGCAGGGAACCAGGACUUUUACUUUGAAAAAAUUAGAGUGUUUAAAGCAGGCAUUCGCUUGAAUACAUUAGCAUGGAAUAAUAGAAUAGGACUUUGGUUCUAUUUUGUUGGUUUCUAGGACCGAAGUAAUGAUUAAUAGGGAUAGUUGGGGGCAUUAGUAUUUAAUUGUCAGAGGUGAAAUUCUUGGAUUAAUUGAAGACUAACUACUG